UACGGGGGGGGCAAGCGUUGUUCGGAAUUACUGGGCGUAAAGGGCGCGUAGGCGGCCUGCUAAGUCACACGUGAAAUCCCUCGGCUCAACCGGGGAACUGCGUGUGAUACUGGCGGGCUUGAAUUCGGGAGAGGGAUGUGGAAUUCCAGGUGUAGCGGUGAAAUGCGUAGAUAUCUGGAGGAACACCGGUGGCGAAGGCGGCAUCCUGGACCAACACUGACGCUGAGGAGCGAAAGCCAGGGGAGCAAAGCGGG
rnacentral:rRNA from 1 species